CCUACGGGCGGCAGCAGUGGGGAAUAUUGCACAAUGGGGGAAACCCUGAUGCAGCGACGCCGCGUGAAGGAUGAAGUAUUUCGGUAUGUAAACUUCUAUCAGCAGGGAAGCAAAUGCCGGUACCUGACUAAGAAGCACCGGCUAACUACGUGCCAGCAGCCGCGGUAAGACGUAGGGGGCAAGCGUUAUCCGGGUUUACUGGGUGUAAAGGGAGCGUAGUCGGUAUGGCAAGUCUGAUGUGAAUACCCGGGGCUCAACCCCGGGACUGCAUUUGAAACUGCCGAACUAGAGUGGCGGAGAGGCAAGUGGAAUUCCUGGUGUAGCGGUGAAAUGCGUAGAUAUUAGGAGGAACACCAGUGGCGAAGGCGGCUUGCUGGACGAUGACUGACGUUGAGGCUCGAAAGCGUGGGGAGCAAACAGGAUUAGAUACCCUUGUAGUC
rnacentral:rRNA from 1 species